GAUGAACGCUGGCGGCGUGCCUAAUACAUGCAAGUCGAGCGAAUGGAUUAAGAGCUUGCUCUUAUGAAGUUAGCGGCGGACAGGUGAGUAACACGUGGGUAACCUGCCCAUAAGACUGGGAUAACUCCGGGAAACCGGGGCUAAUACCGGAUAACAUUUUGAACCGCAUGGUUCGAAAUUGAAAGGCGGCUUCGGCUGUCACUUAUGGAAGGACCCGCGUCGCAUUAGCGAGUUGGUGAGGUAACGGCUCACCAAGGCAACGAUGCGUAGCCGACCGGAGAGGGUGAUCGGCCACACUGGGACUGAGACACGGCCCAGACUCCUACGGGAGGCAGCAGUAGGGAAUCUUCCGCAAUGGACGAAAGUCUGACGGAGCAACGCCGCGUGAGUGAUGAAGGCUUUCGGGUCGUAAAACUCUGUUGUUAGGGAAGAACAAGUGCUAGUUGAAUAAGCUGGCACCUUGACGGUACCUAACCAGAAAGCCACGGCUAACUACGUGCCAGCCGCCGCAGUAA
rnacentral:rRNA from 1 species